GGACGAACGCUGGCGGCGUGCUUAACACAUGCAAGUCGAACGGUAAGGCCCCAGCUUGCUGGGGUACACGAGUGGCGAACGGGUGAGUAACACGUGGGUGACCUGCCCCGCACUUCGGGAUAAGCCUGGGAAACUGGGUCUAAUACCGGAUAGGACCGCACCGUGAGGGUGUGGUGGAAAGUUUUUCGGUGUGGGAUGGGCCCGCGGCCUAUCAGCUUGUUGGUGGGGUAAUGGCCUACCAAGGCGGCGACGGGUAGCCGGCCUGAGAGGGUGGACGGCCACAUUGGGACUGAGACACGGCCCAGACUCCUACGGGAGGCAGCAGUGGGGAAUAUUGCACAAUGGGCGGAAGCCUGAUGCAGCGACGCCGCGUGGGGGAUGACGGCCUUCGGGUUGUAAACUCCUUUCACCAUCGACGAAGGUUUUCUGACGGUAGAUGGAGAAGAAGCACCGGCUAACUACGUG
rnacentral:rRNA from 1 species